rnacentral:piRNA from 1 species
UUCGUGAAAACUCGCUGGCACAUCGCUC